rnacentral:miRNA from 1 species
GAACGAGGCGCUGCGCAAAGG